UGUCCAGUUAAAGGCUGAGAUUGAUUUAAAAUCAAUCUAUGGCCUAAAAUCAGCCACGCCAUUUAAAAUACACUUAACAGAGCAAUGAGUUACUUAACGUUAGUUUUCAACGUUUCUUCUCACUUUCUUUGUCUCUCUCAUUCUUUUGUCUCUUCUCACUUUCUCUGUCUCUCUCAUCAAAACUCCAUGGCUCCUCUCUCUCACCUCAACCGAGUUUCUCCCUCACUCUCCCUAGCGCUCCACUCUCUCAACCCCGACUGCGCCUCCACCUGUCUCUCCACCUCCACGCUUGCUCUCUGCCUCUCCCUCAACCGAGUUUCUCCCUCACUCUCCCUAGCACUCCACUCUCUCAACCCCGACUGCGCCUCCACCUGUCUCUCCACCUCCACGCUUGCUCUCUGCCUCUCCCUCAACCUCGUUGCUUCCCGCAUUCCCAACUCAAACCCAUAAGCAAAAACAAAGAAAAAACAGUAUAUAGUAACUCACUAGCUGAGAUCCCGACCCCACACACUCGCACCCUUUUUAGACCCAGAUCAGAGAGAGAGUAAGGGUUGGGGUUUGGAGAGAAUCGGGUGAGAAUUUGAUGCUUUUCAGACCCAAAUGGGUUAGGGUUUGGAUAGAAACGGGUAAGAGAGAAGUUGAUGCUCAAUCUCCAUGGUUACAGCUAGCAGCCACCGUGUUCUGCUCCACCGAUUCCGGCGGUGGCUCUGGUUGAAUGGCAUGAUUAUAGGUAUGCUAUUCUUCUUUUGAUCACUGAGAGCGAGAAAAGGCGAGUGCUGGAGGGAUUUGUGAAGACCAUGAAGCUGGCUUUGUUCACGAUUUCUUUUUUUUUUUUUGGGAGAAAUUGUUCAUAAAAUUUUAGAUAUAAAGAACAUGACUCGUAUCUAUUUUAGUUGGGAUCAAAAUCAAGAUGUAGCUAUUUUGGCUUUCUUGAAACACUGAAAUCACAUAUUUAUAUUGUAAAGCUAAUUUAGCUAAGCUAUAAAGCCUUUUUGUUUUGGGUUU